AUCGAACGCUGGCGGCGUGCUUAACACAUGCAAGUCGAUCGGUAACGCGGGGGCAACCCUGGCGACGAGAGGCGGACGGGUGAGGAACGCUUGGGAAUCUGCCUAUCAGCGGGGGACAACACGGGGAAACUCGUGCUAAUACCGCAUACGCUCUACGGAGGAAAGCCGGGGACCGCAAGGCCUGGCGCUGAUAGAUGAGCCCAAGCCGGAUUAGCUAGUUGGCGGGGUAACGGCCGACCAAGGCGACGAUCCGUAGCUGGUCUGAGGGGACGAGCAGCGACACUGGGACGGCGACACGGCCCAGACUCCUACGGGAGGCAGCAGUGGGGAAUAUUGGACAAUGGGGGAAACCCUGAUCCAGCGACGCCGCGUGGGUGAAGAAGGCCUGCGGGUUGUAAAGCCCUUUCGGUAGGGACGAAAGCUCUCGACCUAACACGUCGGGAGGUUGACUUAACCUACAAAAGAAGCACCGGCUAACUCUGUGCCAGCCGCCGCAGUAACAC
rnacentral:rRNA from 1 species